rnacentral:piRNA from 1 species
GAUCCACUCGCAAUAAGACAU